rnacentral:rRNA from 1 species
ACAGAGAUGGCUAGCGUUGUUCGGAUUCAUUGGGUGUAAAGGGUGCGUAGGCGGCCCAGAAAGUCAGAUGUGAAAGCCCACAGCUCAACUGUGGAAUUGCAUUUGAAACUUCUAGGCUGGAGUGUGGGAGAGGUGAAGGGAAUUCCCGGUGUAAGGGUGAAAUCUGCAGAGAUCGGGAGGAACACCAGUGGCGAAGGCGCUUCACUGGCCCACAACUGACGCUGAGAGCACGAAGGCAUGGGGAGCAAACGG